rnacentral:sRNA from 1 species
GAAGAAAAAAGAAGAAGAUAAAAAA